UCUCUCUCUCUCACCCUCUCGAACACACAGGCAACCACCCAAAACCACCUAAAACUUAUACCAACGUCGGAUUUAAAGCUACCAUGGCAUUCCUGAGGACUCCACGAUCACGUAGACACCAAUUUCAGGUAAGUUUUACUUCGGAAAACCUAGAUUCUAAACUCCCCGUGAAAGUGCACUGUUCAUGAUCUUCGAAUUGACUUUGUUUUAGGACAAUCCAAGCUCAUAGCAAGCUUGGUGAGGUCCCAAGGAAGCUCGGAGUGCUUCGUUGGAAGUUUUUGGACGUAAGAACACGGAGAUCGACAAGUUCAAAGUUUAGCCGGAGCUUUCGAGGCGUUUUCCGGCGAAUCCCCGGCGAGUUAGGAGUCGAGGUAGGUAUCAAUCUCUUCGUCUCGUCAAGUACUACAACUUUCCUUUUUGUUUCACUCAAUUUCGUUGAGUAUUGAAGAAGUUAUACUCAUUUGAAAAAUACCCAGUUUCCGGCGACCUCCGAGGCUUUCGAGGCAGUUUCCGGCCAAACCACGGCGAACUAGGUGUUGUGCAAGGUAUCAUUCUCUUUGUCUCUUCAAGGGCUACAACUUUUGUUUUUGAAUCACUUGAUUUCGUUGAGAAAUGACAAAGUUAUGGCAAUUUGAAAAACUGCCCAGAAAACGGCCGCCGGAAAAAACCAGUCCGGCGACCCAAGGAAGAAGAAGGUGCUACAGUAAAAAUAAAAAAAAAUAAAAUAAAAUUAUUUUAAAAAUAUGUCGACGUCCGUGACGUCGAGUAGAUCACUGUGGUAUAUUCAUAUACCUAAAUUGAACACCGUAUGAGAAAGUUAUUGAAGAUUGUUGGUUAGGUGUUCAAAUAACGUUUUAUAGUUUUCACAUUUAGGUGAAAAUGUGAAUUGAUGAUCCGACCGUUGGAUCGUCACCAAACUUUGAUACGUUGUAAUACGUAAUAUUUGAGGAUUAUUGGAACUUACGGAUUGGGAAUCAGAGUUACUGAUCUUCCGGAAUUGGAAUUGUAAGUCCAUAAAUAUAAAAUGUUAACCGUCACUUAGUUUUGGAAAUUGACGGAGAUCCGACCGUUGGAUGGUAAUGAAAUUUUAGGAUGUUUGUCCUAGAGGUAUAUUGUGGACCUCUGGAAGUUAUGGAUUUAAAAUCUGAGUGGCAGAUCUUCCGGAUCGAUCAACGUAGUGACGUAUUUUAUAUAAGUUAUGUAUUCUAUCGAUAUGAAUUCUGAGGUUGGAAUUGAUUAUUGUUUUAGGCGCCGAUCGUCAUGACGCCUUGGCGUAUUGUGCUAGGGAGUUGUAGGGCGAACUCCAGGUGAGUGGGCAGUUUUGUUUUCCGUAUAUAUAUAUACUUGACGUUUCCCAGAAAUUGAAUUGAAAUGAAAAUAUGUUUAAAAUGAAAUGCAUAUGAGUUAUGUGGAAAAACGGGAAGUGAAAUACCAUGCAUAGAAUUGAUAUGAAAAGUAUAUAGAAAUGUGAGUUGAAAUGCCAUGCAUGAAUUAAUUUAUGAUGCAUAUGUAUGAAUUGGUGCGGUGGACGCACAUGUAAGAAUUGAUUUAUGAUGCAUAUGUAUGAAUUGGUGCGGUGGACGCACAUGUAAGAAUUGAUUUAUGAUGCAUAUGUAUGAAAUGGUGCGGUGGACGCACAGGUGAGUAUCAGGUGAUUAUUUAAAUACUGUUAUGAUGAUGUUGAUAUAUAUUGAGCUCAAAUCCUGCACCAUGGUUUAGUGCUUAUAGUAUUCACCGCAUCGCACGCUCGCCUUGGAUCCAAGUAGAUGCUAGUCGUACAGUCCACGCGGAGUGGGUACGACAGACCAGUCGCGAGAGAGUGUUAGUGAGAUUCCGACUGGUGGGUGACCUUAGAUUAUGUGCACAGAUGAUUUAUGAGAAGCACUAGAGCGUAACUUGUGUGCAGAAGGCCGGACGGGUCACAGAGGUGACUCCGGUAGAGUGAUAAUGAUAGAUUUUGAGCUCUAGGUUCAACCGUACAGGGCUAUUAGAGGGCCUACGGUUGAUUACUUUCUUGCACCUGAUAUGAUUAUGUUGAUGCAUUCAUACCUUAUUACUGUUGAGAUGAUGUGGCAUGGCAUAAUUAAUAUGAGAAAUGUUGAGAUGAUGUGGCAUGGCAUAACUGAUAUGAAAAAUGUUGAAAAAGUGAAAUGAAGUAUUGAGAAUAUAUAUGUAUAUUUAUAUUUUACAUUUCUGGGAAAGUAUACAGGUUUUACGGAGAGGGGUUACAACGUUAUGAGAAAUGUUUGGAUUUGGAAAAGAAUUGUUUUACUGACCCACUCAAUUUUGGUUUUGCGCCCCUCCAGGUUCAGGAAUCACAAAGGUGUGGUGACUACGAGGAAUACGGCGGGGUUCUGACAGAUUGGACAAAAUUAGGACUCACCUUCGGGUGUAUCAACUUAUAAAUUGUAUAAUUAAAGCUUCCGUACUGUGCAAAUGGUUACGUCACUCUCACGUGACGGCCAGCAUGCCCUCCUUCGGGACGGGGUGUGUCAGUUGGUAUCAGAGCAUGGUUGCAAUCUUGGACAUCUUGAGAAGUUUCUAGUGAAUUCUGUCAGAACUACACCGCCUCGUAGCAAACCACGUAGUUAGAGGAACUUAGUCUCCCUGAUUUAGCGGUUUGGGGGAAACUAUUAUUAUGGUGAUUCAGUAUAUUAUCAAAAUGGACAUUUUAAGACGGGUUAUGAGUUGAAUUUGAAUCACCUUAUGAAAUGAUGAACCUGAGGGAGCGGAGUGACGGUUUAACCAAUUGGAAAAGAUGUUUCAGAUUAUGCAAGUCAAAGGAAAUUUCCUUCUGACAGGUGGGUCGAGACGACUACCUGGUUUUGGGUAUGAAAUUGUAUCCUGGUGGAAACAGGAAUGUUAAUUGUUGUCACCAGAGGAAUCAGCCGAUUUAAAAUUUUUUAAGGAAAAGUUUAUCCCUCCGGCAUUUAUCGAUGGUAGUAAGCAAGAGUUUGCAAAUGUGAAUCAAGGAAGUUGACGAUAAAGUUAAUGAUUCGUCAUAUCAAGGAUAUAGAAAGAUUCAGAGCUUCGAAAGAAGUGAAGCUAGAGUUAAUUCUUCCAGCUGAGGUUUUAAUGUCGCUGGUCAGAGUAAAAGUGAUGGAUAUACUGGUAAUCCCAGAUAUUUGAGACAAGGUGUCUCGAGUAAAGGAAAUGUACUUUGUGCAGCAGGUACAAAAUUAACACUUUGGGAAAUGUGAAAUUAAUGAAUGUGUUUAUGUGAACAGAAGGGACACAGAGUUGUGAAUCGUCCCUAGAAUCAGUUGUACUCAACAAUUUUCCAUGAAAUCAUAGUGUCGAUUCAGCAGAGUUAUGGAUUUAGUAGUUUGGUCGGAUUGACCGUGGGUACAGAGAGAUUUGAUGAGUUAUAUGUUCAGUCGUACAGACCAUGAGAAGUGGAUUCGAUUGACACAUGAGAAAUUGGUGAGUUAUAGGCUCGGCCGUACCGACCACGCGGAGUGGAUCCGGCCGACGUAUUAUUGAGAUAAGAGUUGAAUCAGCCGUAUUGGUCAUUCUAGUUGACUUCGGCUGAUAUAUUUCUUAUUAUGUAUGUUAUUACCUAGAGAGUAGUAAAUAAAUGUAGUUGAGACGAGUGUAUGUAUUUUGCAUUGAGUGACAAAAUAGUAAUGUUAUAUCUUUGAGAGUGGUUGCCUACUUAUCGAGACAACGAUGAUUUAUCAGUAUUGCGGGCUGCAGACCGUAAUAUUAAUAACUCAUUCGUGGAUUCGUUAAGCAAGCAAACCGGUAGGUUAUUUUAUGUUAGUGUUGUACUUAUUUAGAAUGCUUAAUAAUAAUAGAAUAUAUAUUGUAUCAGUUAAUUCUGUUCCAUUAGAUUGGUUGGUUAUAAUUGUGACAAGACGGAAUGUUACGGGAAACCAGUACUUUCCAUCGAUCUGGAUGACCAGAGAUUACUUUUGUAAGUAUGCAAAGUGGAUUGAGUCAGGCCGUUAUUUAUGCUGUGAGAGCAAAGAGAUUGUUUUCGAAAGGCUGUCAAAAAUACUUAGCUCAUGUGGUGCUAAAUGAUGUUGUUUGGAGUAGUGUGAAUAAUGUCGAAAGGGUUAGACUUUUCUUGAUGUCUUCCCUGAAAGUAUACCUGGAUUGCCUUCAGGCAGAGAUAUGAGGUUCACUAUUGAUUUGUUGCCAGGUAUAAAUUUAUAUUGGAGAUUGGUUCAUGAUGAGUUAAGGGAAUUGGAAAUUCAGUUGAGGGAAUUGGUUGAUAAAAGUUUUAUUCAACCUAGUACAACACUUUUGAGGAGCCCCAGUUUGUUGGUGAGGAAGAAAAUGGAUCUUGAGACUGUUCAUUGAUUAUAGACAAUGGAGUCGGGUAACGAUUGAGAACCGUUAUCCAUGGUGAUGUACUGAUGUUUAUUUAACCAGCUCAGAAGUAAUUGCGAAGAUUCAAAGAUUGAAUUGAGAUCUGGUUACUACCAAUUGAAUAUUAUAAGUGACGUUGAUCAUAAGAUGGUUUUCUGGACUUGUUAUAGUUUUUAUGAAGUUUGGUGAUGCUAUGUGGAUACUCAUGCUGUUUUAUGAGUUGAUGGAUGAAGUAUUCCAAUAAUGCCUUGAUAAAUUGAUAUCAUUUUCAUUGAAGAUAUUCUGGCAUAUUCUAAGCCUAGAGCAUGUAAACGUAUUAAGUCGGUGAAGCAAAGAUUAAGAGAACGUUGGUUGUAUGCUAAGUUUAGCAAAUGCGAAUGUUGGAUGAAUCAAGUGGCAUUCUGAGAUUGGUUAUAUCUGCUUAAGGUAUUCAAAUGAAUUCUUAAAAGGCAGCAGAAUUGAGAAAUUGGAACAACCACAAGCCAUAAUUGAGAUUCGGAAAUUCUUAACUUAUCAGGCUAUUUUGGAUGGUUGUGAAAGAAUUUUUAGUCAUUGUUUUGUCAUUGAUGAGACUGUUGAGAAAGGAGGUUAUGUAUGAGUGGGAAGGAAUUGUAAGCAAAGGAUUCAACAACUGAAGUAUUUCCUCACUCAUGCACGUAUUUUGGUAUUCCCAGAGAAUAGUGGUAAUCAUAAAUUUUUAGUGAUGUUUCUUGAAUGGUAUUGGAUGCAUGUUGAUGCAAAUGUUAGGGUGAUUGCAUACGUUUCACGAUAAAUGGAAUCUCAUAAGAUGAAUUACCCUACGGGUGACUUGGAAGUCAUGAUUACCAUUCUUGCUGUGAAGUUAUGAAGGCAUUAUAUUUGGUAAGAAUGCAAGAUUUUUACGAAUCCAAAAAGUCUUCAAUAUCCAUUACUUGGAAGGAUUUUGAUAUGAGGCAGCGAAAGUGAAUUGUAUUGCUUAAUGAACAUGAUUGUACGAUCAGGGUGAUCGUAAAGUUUGUUCUAGCUGAAGCACUUGAUAAGAAGACUGCAGUAAGAAUUAAUAUCUGGUACGCUUGCCAAGAUUAUCUUCUUGUGGAUUGGAAAUCAACUAAAGUAAAGUUAAGAAUGAAAGAUCGAGAAGAAGUUAUACUUGUUAAGUUUCAAGUUAGGCCUUUUGGUAAGGUCGUACUCGAGACUCAAAUGGUAUGUGGAUACAAGAAAACAAAAAGUAUGUGCCUAAUGCUGAGGAUUUGAAGCAAGCAAAUAUUGGACGAAGUUCACUGUUCAACUUCUGCAAUAUUCCAAAAGUAAUAAGAUUUAUCAUACCAUUCGACAGUUUUAUUUGGUCAGCAGAUUGAGGCAGAAAGAGAUAAACCUUUGGAUUGAGAUAAUUAUUUUCUGUUUCGCAGUGGAAAUGGAAAGAUAUUACUUUGGAUUAUGUGUACAAGCUUCCUUGUACACAAGAUGGUUAUGAUCGAAUUUGAAGUGAUAGUUGGUCAAUGUACCAAGUUAGUACAAUUACUCCAGUGUUGAGUAAUAAAUUUUUUUUCAGACAGGGCAACGGUACUUAAUGUAUUUGUGUUCGAUGCGUUGUCACUAGGUGGCAGAGUCGUCUCAUGGAAUUCUGGUGCAACUAUUGAGAAUUAAAUUGGAUUCGACUUGAUAAGGAACCAAGGACGACUUUGGAUUGGAAAAAGAAGGUCCUGAGAAUUAAGACAGAGUAAGUAGUAAAAGCUUUGUGAAGGAAAUCAUUCAGUAGAAAAUUAUGUGGGAAAAAGAGAAUCGGAUGAGAGAGAUUUAUCCGAGGCUAUUGUAUGAGUAUAGAUGAUUUAGUUGGUUGCUGGAAUUUCGGGGACGAAAUUCUAUAAGGAGGGGAGAUUGUCACAGCCCGUCCCGGAAUUUUUAAUUCCGAGGACAUGAAAUUACGAAAAUGUCCCUAAUACGUGACUAAGGUAUAAUUUUCACGUUCGUUAUAUCUAAGCUCCAAAAAAAAUUUGGUAAUUAGAGUGGAGACUUAGACUUAAAUUUUAUGAUGGAAUUUUAUGAAAUUGGGAUUGGAUUGGACAUGUGGGAUCCCCACACCUCAAAACCCUCCCCAUUUCCCGUAUACUGUCCUUCAUACUCUCUCUCUUCCUCAGACCUCACUCUCUCUCUCUCACCCUCUCGAACACACAGGCAACCACCCAAAACCACCUAAAACUUAUACCAACGUCGGAUUUAAAGCUACCAUGGCAUUCCUGAGGACUCCACGAUCACGUAGACACCAAUUUCAGGUAAGUUUUACUUCGGAAAACCUAGAUUCUAAACUCCCCGUGAAAGUGCACUGUUCAUGAUCUUCGAAUUGACUUUGUUUUUAGGACAAUCCAAGCUCAUAGCAAGCUUGGUGAGGUCCCAAGGAAGCUCGGAGUGCUUCGUUGGAAGUUUUUGGACGUAAGAACACGGAGAUCGACAAGUUCAAAGUUUAGCCGGAGCUUUCGAGGCGUUUUCCGGCGAAUCCCCGGCGAGUUAGGAGUCGAGGUAGGUAUCAAUCUCUUCGUCUCGUCAAGUACUACAACUUUCCUUUUGUUUUCACUCAAUUUCGUUGAGUAUUGAAGAAGUUAUACUCAUUUGAAAAAUACCCAG
rnacentral:lncRNA from 1 species